rnacentral:lncRNA from 1 species
AAUCAUUUUUAACUGGAACUAUAAUUAUGGAGUAAAAUAAAAAUCUGAGACAUCUCACUACUUUUUGACAUCAAGCAAAAUGAAGGUGUUUAUCCUUGCUAUGCUCUUACCUACUUCUCGGCCCAGUGCUAUUCAAAAAUUACUUUUUUUUUUUUUAACCUAGACCUAUCUUCCCAGUACUGAACUUGUUUACACUUCCAACAUCAAUAUGUAAUAUCCAUGUAACUGUUUUGGGAAUUACACUUUUCUGUCCUGUUAGAAAGAAUAUUAAACUGCAUUGGUCUAUACUGGGUUCCUG